rnacentral:rRNA from 1 species
UACGUAGGGUGCAAGCGUUGUCCGGAAUUAUUGGGCGUAAAGAGCUCGUAGGCGGUUUGUCGCGUCUGCUGUGAAAACUGGAGGCUUAACCUCCAGCGGUCGAUGGAAACCAUCUGGCUAGAGUCCGGAAGAGGAGAGUGGAAUUCCUGGUGUAGCGGUGAAAUGCGCAGAUAUCAGGAAGAACACCCGUGGCGAAGGCGGCUCUCUGGGACGGUACUGACGCUGAGACGCGAAAGCGUGGGGAGCGAACAGG